AUGAGCCCAUAUCUGCCAUUUUUUACAACUUCAACCCUGACCAUUGCUCCCAGCGCAACAUCGGAUGCAGGGCCGUACCACCACGCUGCCAGCAUGAUAUCGCUCACAGAGCCACGCACGGGUCGUACCGUACCUCCUCAGACGGGUGCUGUCUCAUUUACCACGUCAAGACAACAACCAACUUUGCGCACUUCCUGCUACUGUAGUCUCACACUCUCCCGGACUCUUCAGGACUUCCCUGCCGCACACGCACGAAACUUGGGGGGUAGACGGCCAACUUCGAGCUACUCAACUACCGCCCUGCCCCCCCCAGUCGGCUGGAGCUGUUCUGCCCGUGGGACUCGGAUCCCCGGUCACCGGCUCAGGGCUCAGUCCGCUGACGGGUGGCCGGAGCCGGGCGACUGCGGGGCUGCACUCGCCUCUGCGGCUGUUUCUCUCCAUUCCCCCGCCCCCUUCCCCACCUCACCUCAGACGCCAUCUGUUUGUGGCAUGAGGGAAUGUGGAAGUGAAAGAAAGAAAGAAAAGAGAGGGAGAGAGACGGACAUGUUGGCCGGAGGAAAAGUUCAAGAUGCCGUGUGGUCCACGUAAUCCGGGGACACUCCUGUCCUGGGCCGGUUACCUUUCCCACCCCAAGAGCACCCCAAGAUACAUGGGGUCACAUUGCCGC
rnacentral:lncRNA from 1 species